GCAGAAGUAAGAAAUCGCUUGGGGUAAGGGAUACGUCCUUUAUCCCAAGAGGAAAGUCCGGGCUCUUUCGGAAAAGAUGCUGGGUAAUAACCAGGCAAAAGAUUUUUCUUUUGACAGAAAGUGCCACAGAAAAUAAACCGCUAUUUUUAGUAAGGGUGAAAAGGUGGUGUAAGAGACCACCGGGCAUUAGGUAACUAAUGUUGCAUGGUAAACCUCAUCUAGAGCAAGGUUAAGCAGUAAGGUAACUCCGAUAGGCUUUUGCCAACCUUACGGGUAAAUCGCUAGAGUUUUACAGUAAUGUAAAAUCAGGAUAGAUGAUUUUGAGAUUAUAUUUAUAUAAUUUUACAGAACCCGGCUUAUUUUACUUCUGCUUUU
rnacentral:RNase_P_RNA from 1 species